AACGUAGGAGACAAACGUUAUCCGGAUUUACUGGGCGUAAAGGGCGCGUAGGCGGCUUUAUAAGUCGGGGGUGAAAGCCUGUGGCUCAACCACAGAAUUGCCUUCGAUACUGUAGAGCUUGAGACCGGAAGAGGUAAGUGGAACUGCGAGUGUAGAGGUGAAAUUCGUAGAUAUUCGCAAGAACACCAGUGGCGAAGGCGGCUUACUGGUCCGGUUCUGACGCUGAGGCGCGAAAGCGUGGGGAGCAAACAGG
rnacentral:rRNA from 1 species